CUAGCCCUCACGGCCUCCUUUCUUCAUUACUCCACUGAAACAUAUAUAUACAAGGACCAUACACGCACUGGCCAGCCACCUCUCUCGGCAACUAAUCCCACUAAUCAAUGCAUGCACUAACAGCCUUAUCCUACUCCUGAAAUCACUCCAACGGCCACACGACUCGGCCAUAUCUAAAACUAGCUCCACGUCUCAACGUGGCCUACUACUUCAUGCACGAAGCUAGCUAGCUACAACCAACCAGCACACUCUAACUAACUACGGCUUGGCCAAAUCACUCGGCUCAACCUGAACGAGCAGCCCAUCACCCUCCAGCUUCGUCGUGUCUCGCCGCUUCUCACGGCCUCACCGUAUCGCACGACAUCAUCGGCAUCUUGCCGUGUUCACCGCAUCGCACAGCAGCCCGACAUCUCGCUUUCUUCACGUGCGUAGCUGAAGUAUCAUUGGCCUACAUACACUGCCCUAGAUCAUCUAAACUACAUGCAAACUCAAAACUAAACAUGCAUGCUGGUACAUCAUGACAAGAUUAGUGCUAACAAUCACCUCCCUAAUCUUGUCAUGCUAAACCGCCAGUUCCUCUCGCGGAUCGCCCGCAACACCUUGCCAUGCAUGACGCCGUCGCAGCGCCAACCACCAUGCACUAUCUUGUCGUGGACGACCCCAUCACAGCAUCCGUCACCAUGCCGACUUGCCGCUCGUGGCGGCCUCCUCUCGACGUGGACCAUGCAAUUGCGGCGCUGAUCACCACGCCGUCUUUGUCUAGCACAUCACACCGCAACCAACAUGUUCGCCGGCAUCACACCGCCAAACACCUCCUUGUAAGGGCAUCUCACUGUCGUUGUGGCAGCAUCGCACCGCCAUCUCCUUCUUGUCAUGGAUGACGCCGUCAUAGCGCCAAGCGCCCGCCGUGGAUGACGCUACCGCAGCGCCGGUCACCACGGUGUCAUGACAUGAAGCGGCCUUCUCUUGACACGGACGACGCCUUCGCGAUGCCGAUCACCGCGCCAUCUCCUCCUCAUAACGGCCUCACGCCGUAAGAGCCGUCAGCGGCCUCGCACCGCCACCGACCUCCUCCUUGCGCCGCCAGCCUCCAUCUCGCAUGAAGUCCGCCGCGCCGCCACCGCCUCGGAUCGACAAGGCUCUGAAUACCAAUUGUUGGCGCCGCCUCCUUGCAGCGCCGCUUCCUCUUCUACCCCGAGUUGCCUCGCACAACUCUUUUGAGGUCUCUCUCUUCUCUCUACACACACACACGGUGAGAAGACUCAACACACACACGCCAUACACCAAGGAAGACGAACAGCUUUGCCCCAAGCACUUCCUUGGUUACCACCUUGGCUACAUGUUUUUCUCUAGCCCUCACGGCCUCCUUUCUUCAUUACUCCACUGAAACAUAUAUAUACAAGGACCAUACACGCACUGGCCAGCCACCUCUCUCGGCAACUAAUCCCACUAAUCUAUGCAUGCACUAACAACCUUAUCCUACUCCUGAAAUCACUCCAACGGCCACACGACUCGGCCAUAUCUAAAACUAGCUCCACGUCUCAACGUGGCCUACUACUUCAUGCACGAAGCUAGCUAGCUACAACCAACCAGCACACUCUAACUAACUACGGCUUGGCCAAAUCACUCGGCUCAACCUGAACGAGCAGCCCAUCAUCCUCCAGCUUCGUCGCGUCUCGCCGCUUCUCACAGCCUCGCCGUAUCGCACGACAUCAUCGGCAUCUUGCCGUGCUCACCGCAUCGCACGGCAGCCCGACAUCUCGCUUUCUUCACGCGCGUAGCUGAAGUAUCAUUGGCCUACAUACACUGCCCUAGAUCAUCUAAACUACAUGCAAACUCAAAACUAAACAUGCAUGCUGGUACAUCAUGACAAG
rnacentral:lncRNA from 1 species